UAGGGGUAAAGGAAGUGUUGCCUAGUGACGGGGCGCGUUUAGAAUCCAGCAAACAUGGAGAAGUACGAGAAGAUAAAAGUGGUCGGCAGAGGAGCGUUCGGGAUAGUGCACCUUUGUCGCAGACGCACUGAUGGCUCGCAGGUGAUCUUGAAGGAGAUCCCAGUUGAGCAGAUGACGCGUGAUGAACGCCUCGCGGCCCAGAAUGAAUGCCAAGUCCUCAAGUUACUCAGCCACCCCAACAUAAUUGAGUAUUAUGAAAACUUCCUUGAGGACAAGGCGCUAAUGAUCGCAAUGGAAUACGCUCCAGGUGGGACCCUGGCUGAUUACAUACAGAAGCGCUGCAACUCCCUGUUAGAUGAAGAUACCAUAUUACACUUCUUUGUUCAGAUCUUAUUGGCCCUUUAUCAUGUGCACAAUAAACUCAUCCUACAUCGGGACCUCAAAACCCAGAACAUACUCCUAGACAAGCACCAGACGAUAGUAAAAAUAGGAGACUUCGGAAUCUCGAAAAUUCUUGUCAGCAAGAGCAAAGCUUAUACUGUUGUGGGGACACCUUGUUAUAUCUCUCCAGAACUGUGUGAAGGAAAGCCAUACAACCAGAAGAGUGAUAUCUGGGCCCUGGGCUGUGUGCUUUAUGAGCUUGCUAGUCUCAAAAGAGCUUUUGAGGCAGCAAACCUGCCAGCUUUGGUGCUGAAGAUCAUGAGUGGCACAUUUGCCCCCAUUUCCGACCGUUACAGUCCAGAACUGAGACAACUCAUUCUCAACAUGCUGAAUCUGGACCCCUCCAAAAGACCCCAGCUCAAUGAGAUAAUGGCUCAUCCCAUCUGCAUCAGGCCAUUGCUCAAUCUCUACACCGACAUAGGCAACGUCAAAAUGCGGAGAAUAGAAAAGCCACUUUCUUCUGUACAAACAGGCCCUCAUGGAAGACCUGGUGGGCGUGUGACCGGUACCAGAACCAGAGGAGGGCUGUCCAGUCUUACUUCGACAAAGAUGAUGCACCCAUUGCCGUUAUCGUCCGUGUACACCUGGGGCAGUGGCAUCUCCACUCCUCUGCGUCUGCCCAUGUUAAACACAGAGGUUAUUCAAGUGUCCCUGGGCCGCACACAGAAGAUGGGCGUCACCAAAUCUGGGAAGCUAAUCACAUGGGAGGCCCCCUCGGUUGGAUCCGGUGAGCCUACUCUGCCUGGCGCCGUUGAGCAGAUGCAGGCCCAGUUUAUCUCCCGCUUCCUGGAGGGCCAGUCUGGAGUCACGAUCAAAUCGGUCUCAUGUGGUGAUCUCUUCACCACCUGUCUAACAGACAGAGGUAUAAUCAUGACGUUUGGAAGUGGAAGCAAUGGUUGUCUUGGACAUGGGAACUUCAACGAUGUGACACAGCCCAAGAUAGUGGAGGCUCUGCUGGGUUAUGAGCUGGUUCAAGUGUCUUGUGGAGCAUCCCACGUCCUGGCAGUGACCAAUGAGCGAGAGGUUUUCUCCUGGGGGCGAGGAGACAACGGCCGGCUGGGAUUGGCAUCUCACGACUGCCACAACUGCCCACAGCAGGUGAGUUUGCCGGCUGAUUUUGAAGCCCAGCGUGUGCUGUGUGGGAUCGACUGCUCCAUGAUCAUCAGCACACAGCACCAGAUUCUGGCCUGUGGGAACAACAGGUACUCAAAAUGUCCUCUAGUUAGCAUGUGGUUGACUGUCACAGAUUCACUGGUUAAUGAACCUGCCACAAAUCUAAUCACAAUUAUAAACAAUAAUGAAUCCCAAAAUGUAAAAAAAUGUAUCUCAAUGAAUUUCUUUCUUAGCUGUUUAGGCAGUUUUUCAGAUUGCUAAACCAGUUUAGGGAGUUCACACUCCUCAUUCCUGCUCUAGCAUUUGAAAGAACCGUGAAUGCUGAAGACAUUUCAUCACAGGAAAUGACCAACACAAUGUCCAUAUUUUGAAUAACUGUCACACCCUGUCAGUCACACCAUCGUACCGUCUGAGUGCGAAAUAUCUUUUUUUCUUACAGACUUACCAGAUGUGGUUGUAAAAUAAAAAAAAAAUACACUUUACCAUACAAAAUAGUAUUUAUUACAGAAGUAAAUAUAUAAAUGUAAUAAGAAUGAAAAUUAUGUCAGCUUUUACUCAACCUCGUGUUGUUCCGAACCUGUGUGAGUUUCUUUCUUCUGUGGAAUAUCAAAGAAGAUAUUCUGAAGAAUGUUGGGAAACAAACAGUCGCUGGUCCCCAUCGACUUGCAUAGUAUAGAAAAAUACAAUGAAAGUCAGUGGGGACCAGAAACUGUUUGGUUACUCACAUUCUUCAAUCAUACAUCAUCAUUCUUCUUUUGUGUUCAGUGGACAGAAAGAAAUUAAUGAACUAUUCCUUUAAAUGCAAACUGAAGGUAAUGUUUUCAGACGCUUAAUUGCAAUAAACUUUAGCUUUUUUACCCAUUUAAGUAGGACUUAAGUACAUCUUUAUAUGUAAUUUCCUAAUUACUUCUAAUUUCUAUUGAAACUUUUAUGUCAUGUAUAUACAUUUGUAAUGACUCUGCAAUUUAAUAAAAUAUAUAUUACCUUUUAAUGUAAUACAAUUAUAAUUAAGAUAUUAUUCAACCCAUUAAAGGAAGUGUUCUUUAAAUCACAGCAAAAAUGAUUAAAUCAAUAAUUACAAAUUUAAAUUUAAAAAUGUACUCUAUUUUUUAUUUUUUUUUACAUUAUUACAAAGUGCAGUUUAAAAAGAAAAAGUACUUUAAAGAAUAGUUCACCCAAAAAUGAAAAUUCUGUCAUUAAUUACUAAAGUCAUUUCAAACUUGUAAGACCUUUGUUUUUGCUGUGAUUCUGACUGACGUGGAAGAGAAAAAAUAGUUGAGUUAAGUUUUUUUUUUUCUUAGCACACAAAAAGAAGUAUCUUGUAGCUUCCUAACAUUACGGUUAAAGCACUGAUGUCACAUGGACUAUUGUAACGAUGUCCUUACUACCUUUCUGCACUUUGACUGUGGUAGUUCCCUUGCUGGGACAGAGGGUGCAGGGUCAGAAAGCUCUCGGAUUUCAUCCAAAAUAUCUUAAUUUGUGUUCUGAAGGUGAAUGAAAGUCAUAUGGGCUUGGAACAACAUGAGGGUUUAACAAGCUGGGUUUGGAUAAGGUCUCUGGCACAGAGGAGCCCCCGUCUCACUGUCAGGUGGAGGAGGUCCACACGUUCCAGCCCGUCCAGUCGGCUCCUCUCAGUGUUGAGAAGAUUGUGUAUAUAGACAUCGGCA